CAAUAGCGUAUAUUAAAGUUGUUGCGGUUAAAAAGCUCGUAGUUGGAUUUCUGCUGAGAACGACCGGUCCGCCCUCUGGGUGUGUAUCUGGCUCUUUCUUGGCAUCUUCUUGGUGAACGUUGCUGCACUUGACUGUGUGGAGCGCUACCCAGGACUUUUACUUUGAGGAAAUUAGAGUGUUUCAAGCAGGCAUACGCCUUGAAUACAUUAGCAUGGAAUAAUAAGAUAGGACCUCGGUUCUAUUUUGUUGGUUUCUAGAGCUGAGGUAAUGAUUAAUAGGGAUAGUUGGGGGCAUUCGUAUUUAACUGUCAGAGGUGAAAUUCUUGGAUUUGUUAAAGACGGACUGCUGCGAAAGCAUUUGCCAAGGAUGUUUUCAUUGA
rnacentral:rRNA from 1 species